AUUGGCGCAGUUACAGAGAGAGUCAACGCGACAAAAUGAGUGGAAAACAACUGGCCGCUCCGUGCGGUGAGAGGAGAGUAUUUUUUAUUGUACAUCGAUAUUAAAAAACAAGGGAAAGGUCAGUAAUGCUCAUGAUGGCUUGCUGGCCGGGCUAAUAUUAGGAUUCCAAAGGUUGGCCCUGGCUGACGGAUUCCGGAUAUGUGUAAUGUAAUUUGGGUGACUCUUUGGUGACUAACAUAACAACGUUAUGUGGAAGAUUGGUUUACAUGAUCAACGUUAUAAAAUAGCUCUUAAUUGAAUGUGCAAAUUUCUCCCUAUGUGAUGAUUCUUAUUUUCAUCAAAGUCAAAUAGAAUUAAAAGAAAAUAUAUAUAAAAAAAUUGACCUCAAUUAACCAUAUAUUAAUCUAAUUAAACCAAAAAAAUUAUAAAAUAAAAUACUUAGCACCCCAAUAAAGGUUUAAUUUGAAGUUAAUUUUAUUUUUGAUUUCUAAAUACAUUUUUUUUCCUGGAUGUAAAAUGAUAAAAAUAAUAUUACAGGGCCUAUGGCACACCUGGGAUCUGGGAUUAUUAGUUUUACAAGAAGUGCAACUGCUCACUCGUCGCACGUCGCACCAUCCCCACCCCUACUCCGUCUCGGUACAAAACGAAAUUCUUUCCGCAUGCGUGCGAUGCUUGUUGAUCUGUUAUAACAACUUUUGUUCACUUUUGGAUGGGUCGCCGGUCGUCGCGCAAGCGUCACGACUUGCAUCAGUGCUAAAACCGAAUAUUUUCGCGAAUGAAAACCGCAAAUAGAUUGUGAUAAACCUCAACCCAUCUGGGUAUCUCUGCACGACCGACGGCUCUUUCUUUAUCAGCUCUGAUCCUCUGAUGCCGCCACCGCCGCUGUUCCAGAUAGGGCUGCCAAAUAAUAACCAAGCAAUACCCGCUUGGCUUGUGAACAUGCGGCGGCAUCAGACCUCACCGACCGAUGACGAAACUUGGACUCCUUCUGUUUCCGAGUUUUUCGCUCUUUUCCGUCAUGAAGAAGGCACAAAUGCUGGGUCAUGUCCAGGUCAACCCGAACAUGAAUUAGAAUCUAUCAGAUUCAAUUUUGAAUCUCAUUUAGAAAACCCCAUUCACUGCAACGCAUUAAACGCCUUGUAUGGAAUAAAGAUUAGCAAAAUAAAUCUAAAAAAUGUUGAGACUGAAGAAAAUGAUGUCGAGAGGAAAAGCGCAGACUGUUUGUCUUCGUUUCAUUUGCUCCAUUUCGUUUUUAACUGUUAUUUCCCUGUGGAAAAGAAACAGACAAUCUCUGCCUUGUUCAAACUUUACCAUUGGAACUUUUAUUCCAGCUUUGAAAAACGUCUCAAAGUUCUAAUGAUGAGAACUAUUUUUCCACAAGUGAAGCCUGCUUUUAAUUUUGAGAGAGAUGACAAAAGUGUCACAGACACUUUUAUUGAAGCGUAUCCAACAAAGACAAUACCUGCAGACGUUCUGCAAAGUCUUCUGCCUUCGGACUGGUCUUCGCAGUGUCUGAAUAACUUUGAAUGCAAGAAUGAAAUUGUGUCUUACAAUUCGGAAUUGCCUGAGGCGUUGCAAUUGAUGCUAAGCGUUGUGCAAGCUGAAAAGAUUGGCAAAGUUGAGAACCCUUAUCUCUGGCUGCAGUAUAAAUUAAAGUUGUGCGAAUCUCAAAUUGAUCCCGAAGAAAUAAAAUACCUUUUCCACGGAACUAACACGCAAAAUGCGGAUUCCAUUGUGAAAGACAAUUUUAAUUAUCGACUGGCAGGCUCGGCCUUUGGAAAUCAGCUCGGCAACGGAGUGUAUUUUACAUCAAAACUCAAAUUUGCAGCUUAUUAUGCAAAGCGUGAUGGGUGCAUCGUGUUGGCGCAAGUGCCAGUGGGCCUCGUCUGUAGAGGAAGCAAAAGUGACGUUUUACCCGAACCAUAUUAUCACUCUACUGGCGACGGCAAGCACAAAUUUGCAAAGUUCCAUGAUCACGAGUUUUAUCCAUUGUAUCUGAUCUUUCUUAAAAAUUCCCGAAAAAAGGUGAAACACAAUCAGUUGACCGAUAAUCUCACCUGCCAUUCUACGAUCAGUCGAACUUUCUAUUCAUCCCAGAAGGAUAAAAUGUUGGCGUAAACAGGGCGAGCUGAAAAAGUUGAUGUUAUGAAAUAAUAUAUAGUUUUAGACACUAAUUUUUUUUAGACUUCAAAUUUUAUAAUUCAUUUUUUAAUAAUUAAAUUAGGAUAUGCAUUGUAUUAUUUCAAUAGAGCACCGACUGAUUAAAUGUUUAAACAUUAAUAUAGCUUCUGUAUUACAUCAUCAUUAAUUUGUAUAGUUUUUUAUCACAGUGUGGCGGUGAUGCCCCUUUCAAUAUAGACUUUUUAUCAGACCUCUGCUACAUUUUGAACCAGGUGACUUUAAUUUUCCAUGAUCCUGCGGUGGAAUUACAAAAAUAAUCAUCUUUAGAUUUCUUCGUCAAAUAAGAUGUAAAUUUUAAACUUUUAUUAAUCAACAUAAAAAAUUUCCCAAUAUAUUUCAAUUGAAGUAAAAAUGCAAACUGGGUGCGAUUGAUAAUGAGGAGGGAGAAAGAUAAUUCGUUUCGGGGAAAAGUACUUGAUGAUAAUAAAAAGAUAAACGAACAUUGCAUUAAAAAGAGGGUGUCAGUACCAGCAGGACCAAGAACUUGAACUGCUUCUGAUGUUAAAGAGUUCUGACACUUCCUCAACAUCAGCAAAAGAAAUCACUGCGGUAUAUGCAGAGCAAUUAAACUGGACACAAAUAGAAAUUUACCAGCGGCGGGAUAAGCAAAGAAGAAUAAUUGACGCGUGAUGUGUUUCGGACCAAAAUUGAUCUCCAAUUGUGCAGACUGAGGAAGAUAAGUUUCUUCUAAAAAAAAUGUUCAUUUUUUUACUGUAUUAACGGAAAAGUGAAACUCUUAAUUAAUUAUUCAAUCAAAAAUCAACGACUUGCAUUUUAACUUCAACAACGCAUCAGAUUUUUUUAAGUAAUAAAAAACUUCCCCUAUUCAUUAACAUGUGAGCCGCCCUAUUUAAAAUACUUAAGUGACAUCGCAAUGAAUUUUAUCGAAGCUUACAAAACUAAGCAUGUUCCUGACGAUUUGCUGCAAAGUCUUUUGCCUGACGAUUGGUCUCGUCAGUGUGUGAUUAAUUUCAAUUCUGAGGAAAGCAUCGUGUCUUUUGCUGCAGAAUUACCCACAGCAUUACAAUAUGAAUAUAAUGGAUUGAGCAGUUAUAAGCGGAUUGAGAAGGUUGAGAAUCCUUACCUCUGGCUAAUGUACCAAUUGAAAUUGUGUGAAUGUCGAAUUCAGCCUGACAGUGACAAAAUAGAGCACCUUGUACACGGCACAUACUCUGGAAAUGUGCCUUCCAUUAUAAGGAACAACUUCAAUUAUCGACUAGCGGGAAGAAACGUUGGGGUACGCCUUGGGAAGGGAGUUUAUUUUGCAUAUGAAUCCCGCUUUACAAGUUACUAUGGAAAUUGCGUUGUGUUAACAGAAGUACUAAAGGGUAGCGUUCUCUGUAGUGGCAGCUGCAACAAUGGUUUACCGCCACCAGGCCACUCCAUUGGCGACCCAAAAAGAAUUGCUAAAUUUUACGAUCACGAGUUUUACCCAAAAUAUCUUAUAUAUCGGGAAUGACGGGGGUUUUAUACUCCAGUAGAUUAAUUUUAAGACAACUGAAUUUAAUCUGUCGUUUUUAUUAAAUAUUGUUGCAUUAUAAAUUUUUUGUUAUUUGUAUGCUGCAAAAUGCAAGAAACAAAAAUACUAGUUUGCAAAAAUAUUUGUAUUGCAUUAAUUUAGCCAUUAACUGUGUUUUAAAAUCUGGUUAAUUCAUGUUCAUGUGUUUUAAAUUUACUUAAAGUUAAAUAAAAAUGUGCAGCAAAACCCAGAAAAGCAUUUUUAUUUUUACAUAUUGCGUAAUUCAUGGGAGAGAAUAAUAUAAAACUAAAUAUAGCGCUCAAUAAGUUGGCUGUUAAAAAACUUCAGCAAAUCAUAAAUUGGCAUUUUGAUUAAUCUGUUUUCUAUUAUCGUGUUGGUUAAAAUUUUCAUAAGGUGACCUGGGUAUACAAUUAAAUAAUCUAUUGACACACAAAAAAAUUUUUUCUCCCAUCACAAAUAAAGUUGUAAAAAUUGGAGACGUAAUGUUAAUUCUUCUGAUAAAGAGAGCUAUAUAUAAAAAUUUCGAAGUCUUAGUUUUUGGGAAAUCACCAAACAUGCAAUCGGAUUUUGAAUCAUGUUGUUAUCUUUGCUUCAUCAUAAAACAUUUUUUCGGUAUUCAUAUACAAUCUCUGUUUAUCUGCAAAAUUUUUAUCAGCUUGCAGUGCAAGAAGAAUAGGGAGGUUCUUUUACCAUAAAGUAUAGCCUUAUAGAAUAAUAAAAUUAGUGCUGCGGCACAUAAUGAAAGCUUAUUAUCUAUGGUUGUUACUGCGAAGUGCAAAGCUAUGGCUCAUGAAAAAAGGUUCCCUCUUUGCAGCGCAGAAAAGUUCCUCAGCACAGAUUAGAUGAACCCUGAAGUGAAUCGUGUGCGUUGCUAAAUUGAGAAUA